GGGGGUAUAGCUCAGCUGGGAGAGCAGCAGACUGAAGUUUGAUUUCUGAAGGUCCCGCGUUCGAUCCGCGGUACCCCCA